CCGAAUUGUCAACAUGGGUUGUUGCUGGUCCUCAAAUGGGGGCAUGUGCACACUCUGUUCACACAUCCACUCACACCUGUGCACCCACUGUAGUUCUGUGGCCUGGAGGACCUGUCCCCCUUGCCGUGGUUCUAUGUCUUUACACACACACCGUAACAAAGUCUUAUGGAAUGUAUGCUGCGUCUAACGCAUUACAAUA
rnacentral:misc_RNA from 1 species